UUCAGUUGAAACUGCUUUUUUAAACCCUUUUUUAAAUGUUUCUUUUCAAUCGUGGUUGUUGGUUAAUAUGUUGUGAGGCCGGUUGGGUGAGUGUGAUAAUCAUAAUAAUAAUAAUAAAUAUGAAACUAUUCAGUUAACUUCAUCAUUGACCGUUUUGGAAACAAAAGAAAGAUAGAAAGAAAGGGAAGAGAAAGAAAAAAGCGUUUAAAUUUGUUGUUAAGGUUGGUUAUUUUGUUGCUAAGGUUAUUAUAUCCAGUAUUAACGCCAUCUUUUUUCUCAACAAAAACAAGUUAACGUGAUUAAAUAUGAAUUUUACCUUUUUUACUCUCUUAUUUUCAUGAUUUUAACUUGAUUGUGUUUUUGAAUUUAGUGUAUCAUAAAGCUAAUAAUAUGUUUCAACCUAUGGUUUAGAGGUUCAUCCUUUUGGUAUCAAAACAAGAAUGAUAAAUUGUUUCCAAUGGAUUAGCUUUCCACAACAAAGACUAUAAACCAGGUUCUGUCGUUAAGCAAAAAAAAGACGUUUUAUUUUCUUCUAUGUUUACCUAAUUAAUAUAACGUUAUUGUCAUAUUGUCGUUAUUGCUAUCUUAUAUAUUGCAGUAUUAUCGCUAUUUAGCUUCACGAUUCAAAUACUGCUAAUCAGCUAAUUAGAAGUAUGAAUCUUAUUUUAAUAGCUUUAUUAUUGAGAUCAUUGGAAGCUUCAUAAUAUCCUUAUUUUUGUUGUGUUGAUGAACACUGCAAACAAAGAGUACAAUAUUAGCCUUCCUCAGUUGGCUUUAAGAGUGAGGUGAAAUGAUGAUGGUAAUAUUAAUGACAAUGUUGACAGUGUUUACCUGAUCAUCCCAAUGAUGUUACCCUUUAAAAUGAAUUAUCUUAAAACAGGUUCUCAUUUAUCAUCUAAAUUUGGAUUCUUGGCGUUGGAGCAAACAAAUACAAUCAUCACCAAUCGACUCAAUGUUUUCUGGUUAGACGCAGUUGUACGAGGUUACAGGAUUCAAUCCAAAGCAUAAUCAAGAUUAUUUUGGCGUUUAUUAGGUGACGAGCAGAUUAUUAUGGCAAACCUUGAAAAUAAUUCUGACUCAAUUUGAUUUCAGACGAUUAGUUAAGCCAGCAAAUUAAAAGCCAGAGCAAACAAGUAAAGAGCCUUGAAAUGUUAUGAGAUGAGAUAUGGACAAUCAACACCAAUAACGUAACAAGAACCAUGAAUCCUGUCAACAAACAUAUUGAUUUUAGUGUUUCCAGUGUGUAGGAAAAAGAAAGAUGACUGAGUUGCCUGAUGAUUCAAGGAUAGUUGAGAGACAAGAAAUGAACCACAAUUAAUAAAGAUGUUUAUGCGAUUGGAUAAAUUGGAUCAUGUUGAACCUUUUUCAAUUACCUGUUUCUUUCAAUGCGGUUUUCCUGUUUCUCUCAUUGUUUUGGGAUGUCUGGUGAUGAUCAAUUUUAUCAAUUGAUUGCAGAUGAUGAACAUGAAUGUUUUGUUUAAUUGUAAAACUGGUGCCGUUUUAUGCUGUAACACUUGGUAUGAUUAAUCAAAUCUUGAUCAGGCAGUUACAUGAAAUAAUCAAACAUGAAUUUUGAACAUACAACCCGUGAUUUACUCAAAGAGUAAAACCAGUUUAACCAAUCUUCAAAUGAUUAUGAAUCAUCAUCAAUUCUGAUGAUUAACAUCUUUACAUUCUGGCAGCACACACACACACUCACUCACAAGCCUUUAACAACAUGCAUUAAUGAUGAAUUAAAAUGAAUACAAUAACAAGUUUCAUCAUCAUGAGAUUCAACCCGAGAAGAUGGAAACUCUAGUCGCAUGAAAAAACCUGAAACACCUAACACCUUUAGUGAGAAGAAGAUAAGUCCAACUCAUCAUCAUCUCUACCAUUAUCAUCAUCAACCUAAUGAUAAACAUGAUAUCGUUUAGCUGACCUAACCCAAACCGGUUCAAAUGCAAUAUAACCUGUUACCAACUUUCAACUUGCUCACAAUUAUAAUGACCGCAUAAACAAAUCCUGAUUAAAUGAUGAUCAUCAUUAUUUUUCAUUUGUAAAUCAACAAUUAAAUUAGCUUGGCCCAAUCAUUGGUUUCAUCAUCAAGCGUUGGUAAAGAAGAUGUCAGUAAUUAAAAAGUAACCAUUCACCUAAAGUUAAUCUAUUUUUAACUUGUACAACGCCAUACGCUUUAACACGUCCAAAAUGUUGAUCAUAAUGGUUGUUAUCAUGAUCACCAUUACCAGAAUCAUGAUGAUUGAAUAAACAAAUAAGCUCAUCUCA